rnacentral:rRNA from 2 species
UACGUAGGGGGCGAGCGUUGUCCGGAAUUACUGGGCGUAAAGGGUGCGUAGGCGGCGAUGCAAGUCCAUUGUGAAAAGCCCGGGCUUAACCUGGGAGGUGCAGUGGAAACUGUAUGGCUUGAGUGCAGGAGAGGAAAGUGGAAUUCCUAGUGUAGCGGUGAAAUGCGUAGAUAUUAGGAGGAACACCAGUGGCGAAGGCGACUUUCUGGACUGUAACUGACGCUGAGGCACGAAAGCGUGGGGAGCAAAC